rnacentral:rRNA from 1 species
UACGUAGGGUGCAAGCGUUAAUCGGAAUUACUGGGCGUAAAGCGUGCGCAGGCGGUGAUGUAAGACAGAUGUGAAAUCCCCGGGCUCAACCUGGGAACUGCAUUUGUGACUGCAUAGCUAGAGUACGGUAGAGGGGGAUGGAAUUCCGCGUGUAGCAGUGAAAUGCGUAGAUAUGCGGAGGAACACCGAUGGCGAAGGCAAUCCCCCUGGACCUGUACUGACGCUCAUGCACGAAAGCCGUGGGGGAGCAAACAGG